rnacentral:tRNA from 2 species
GGGGCCAUAGCUCAGCUGGGAGAGCGCCUGCUUUGCACGCAGGAGGUCAGCGGUUCGAUCCCGCUUGGCUACACCA